rnacentral:rRNA from 1 species
ACCGCGGCUGCUGGUGGGGAAUUAGCCAACACACCUAGGGAUGGGCCUGCGGCCUUUCAGGUAGUUGGUGGGGUAAGAGCCCACCAAGCCGAAGACCUGUAGCCGGGCUGAGUCGCUCGCCGCGCGCGCCGGGGGGGGGGGGGGCACGGGGGUCCUACGGGAGGCAGCAGUGGGGAAUAUUGCGCAAUGGGGGAAACCCUGACGCAGCGACGCCGCGUGGAGGAUGAAGGUCUUCGGGUUGUAAACUCCUUUUCUUGGGGAAAAUGAUG